rnacentral:rRNA from 1 species
GAUGAACGCUGGCGGCGUGCUUAACACAUGCAAGUCGAACGGAAAGGCCCAAGCUUGCUUGGGUACUCGAGUGGCGAACGGGUGAGUAACACGUGGGUGAUCUGCCCUGCACUUCGGGAUAAGCCUGGGAAACUGGGUCUAAUACCGGAUAGGACCACAUUUUGGAUGGUGGGGUGGAAAGUUUUUCGGUGUGGGAUGAGCUCGCGGCCUAUCAGCUUGUUGGUGGGGUAAUGGCCUACCAAGGCGUCGACGGGUAGCCGGCCUGAGAGGGUGUACGGCCACAUUGGGACUGAGAUACGGCCCAGACUCCUACGGGAGGCAGCAGUGGGGAAUAUUGCACAAUGGGCGCAAGCCUGAUGCAGCGACGCCGCGUGGGGGAUGACGGCCUUCGGGUUGUAAACUCCUUUCGCUAGGGACGAAGCGUUAUGUGACGGUACCUGGAGAAGAAGCACCGGCUAACUACGUG